CUGCCACGAACCCUUCAGUCGACAUCAAUGAUCAACAUUCUGUCAUUCUUCUGAGAAAUCAAUCUUAUGAUCAUCCUUUUCAUGUAGAUUUCCUCCUAGGCACUUUUGUCUGAACCACGUGGCACAAAUUGGCAGAGAACAAGGAAAAGAAGAACAGAGGAAGGAGAAAAGGAGAAAAGUCAUUCUGCUGAAAACUCAUAGGAGCUGACUGAGUUGGCUUGGCUGUACAUAGGAGGAAGACCCUGAUCCCUGGUGCUCAACACAGAAAUGCUUCAAUGAUACCCUGAGAUUGUUUUACCUUGCAACACUCUCUGGAAAAUUGCUGCUCCAGGAAUGCGAUGAAAAGAUCUGUAAGAGAGCACAGCCCCUGUUGAUUGACUUGUCUUGGAUCAAACCAGAGCUUCUGGCUGGGAUACUGGUAUCUUGAGUGAGUCACAGCAGGAGAUACGUGCUGGAGCUGAAGAGGUUGGAGAGGCAGCAGAAAAGGUAGGAGACAGCAAGAGAAGGAGAGCAGCCUACAGAUGAGAAGACAAGUAAUUUACCCUAAAGUUCUAGGACUGCUGUUGGUCAAAGGAAAAAUCCUUCUGAGAGAUUUUGAUUUUAGGUUUUGAUUCUACUUCUGUUUCUAUGAAUGCUAGAGAGAAGAAGAAGCCUAUGAAGUAUACAUUUUCAUAGUAUUUUAUAGAUAAGAAUCAGUGUAUUUAAGCUAUUAACUGAGUCACCUAAUUAGUUAAUGAAAGAGUUGGGAUUACAACCCAAGUGUGUUUGAUCUCAGGGACCACACUUUCUAAUUCACAAAUAAUCUUUCCCUAGUAGAAUCCAUACCAGUGUUUUCCAAACUUGUUUUUUCUGUGAGAUUAACAAAAGUAAAUUUAGAGUAUAAUCUGCAAUAAAAGUCGUUGUUGGUGGUGAAUUAGAGGCAAGAGUCAGAAAGACCAUGUAAUUGAAUAUGUGAAGCAACAGGGGUUUUCGCUA
rnacentral:lncRNA from 10 species